rnacentral:rRNA from 1 species
UGGCGGCAUGCCUUACACAUGCAAGUCGAACGGCAGCACGACUGGCAACCCUGGUGGCGAGUGGCGAACGGGUGAGUAAUACAUCGGAACGUGUCCUGGAGUGGGGGAUAGCCCGGCGAAAGCCGGAUUAAUACCGCAUACGCUCUGUGGAGGAAAGCGGGGGAUCUUCGGACCUCGCGCUCAAGGGGCGGCCGAUGGCAGAUUAGCUAGUUGGUGGGGUAAAGGCCUACCAAGGCGACGAUCUGUAGCUGGUCUGAGAGGACGACCAGCCACACUGGGACUGAGACACGGCCCAGACUCCUACGGGAGGCAGCAGUGGGGAAUUUUGGACAAUGGGCGCAAGCCUGAUCCAGCAA